CCUACGGGCGGCAGCAGUGGGGAAUAUUGGACAAUGGGCGAAAGCCUGAUCCAGCCAUGCCGCGUGUGUGAAGAAGGCCUUCGGGUUGUAAAGCACUUUCAGUGGGGAAGAAAGCCUUGGGGCUAAUACCCUCGAGGAAGGACAUCACCCACAGAAGAAGCACCGGCUAACUCCGUGCCAGCAGCCGCGGUAAUACGGAGGGUGCGAGCGUUAAUCGGAAUUACUGGGCGGAAAGCGCGCGUAGGCGGUCUGAUAAGCCGGUUGUGAAAGCCCCGGGCUCAACCUGGGAACGGCAUCCGGAACUGUCAGGCUAGAGUGCAGGAGAGGAAGGUAGAAUUCCCGGUGUAGCGGUGAAAUGCGUAGAGAUCGGGAGGAAUACCAGUGGCGAAGGCGGCCUUCUGGACUGACACUGACGCUGAGGUGCGAAAGCGUGGGUAGCAAACAGGAUUAGAUACCCCUGUAGUC
rnacentral:rRNA from 1 species